AGAUUAAACUGAAGAGUUUGAUCCUGGCUCAGAUUGAACGCUGGCGGGAUGCUUUACACAUGCAAGUCGGACGGCAGCACGGGGCUUCGGCCUGGUGGCGAGUGGCGAACGGGUGAGUAAUGUAUCGGAACGUGCCCGGUAGCGGGGGAUAACUACGCGAAAGCGUGGCUAAUACCGCAUACGCCCUACGGGGGAAAGCGGGGGACCUUCGGGCCUCGCACUAUUGGAGCGGCCGAUAUCGGAUUAGCUAGUUGGUGGGGUAACGGCCUACCAAGGCGACGAUCCGUAGCUGGUUUGAGAGGACGACCAGUCACACUGGGACUGAGACACGGCCCAGACUCCUACGGGAGGCAGCAGUGGGGAAUUUUGGACAAUGGGGGCAACCCUGAUCCAGCCAUCCCGCGUGUGCGAUGAAGGCCUUCGGGUUGUAAAGCACUUUUGGCAGGAAAGAAACGGCACGGGCUAAUAUCCUGUGCAACUGACGGUACCUGCAGAAUAAGCACCGGCUAACUACGUGCCAGCAGCCGCGGUAAUACGUAGGGUGCAAGCGUUAAUCGGAAUUACUGGGCGUAAAGCGUGCGCAGGCGGUUCGGAAAGAAAGAUGUGAAAUCCCAGGGCUUAACCUUGGAACUGCAUUUUUAACUACCGAGCUAGAGUGUGUCAGAGGGAGGUGGAAUUCCGCGUGUAGCAGUGAAAUGCGUAGAUAUGCGGAGGAACACCGAUGGCGAAGGCAGCCUCCUGGGAUAACACUGACGCUCAUGCACGAAAGUGUGGGAGCAAACAGGAUUAGAUACCCUGGUAGUCCACGCCCUAAACGAUGUCAACUAGCUGUUGGGGCCUUCGGGCCUUGGUAGCGCAGCUAACGCGUGAAGUUGACCGCCUGGGAGUACGGUCGCAAGAUUAAAACUCAAAGGAAUUGACGGGGACCCGCACAAGCGGUGGAUGAUGUGGAUUAAUUCGAUGCAACGCGAAAAACCUUACCUACCCUUGACAUGUCUGGAAUCCCGAAGAGAUUUGGGAGUGCUCGCAAGAGAACCGGAACACAGGUGCUGCAUGGCUGUCGUCAGCUCGUGUCGUGAGAUGUUGGGUUAAGUCCCGCAACGAGCGCAACCCUUGUCAUUAGUUGCUACGAAAGGGCACUCUAAUGAGACUGCCGGUGACAAACCGGAGGAAGGUGGGGAUGACGUCAAGUCCUCAUGGCCCUUAUGGGUAGGGCUUCACACGUCAUACAAUGGUCGGGACAGAGGGUUGCCAACCCGCGAGGGGGAGCCAAUCCCAGAAACCCGGUCGUAGUCCGGAUCGCAGUCUGCAACUCGACUGCGUGAAGUCGGAAUCGCUAGUAAUCGCGGAUCAGCAUGUCGCGGUGAAUACGUUCCCGGGUCUUGUACACACCGCCCGUCACACCAUGGGAGUGGGUUUUACCAGAAGUAGUUAGCCUAACCGCAAGGGGGGCGAUUACCACGGUAGGAUUCAUGACUGGGGUGAAGUCGUAACAAGGUAGCCGUAUCGGAAGGUGCGGCUGGAUCACCUCCUUU
rnacentral:rRNA from 1 species